AUGACAGGGACAUUAUGGAGGAUUUCAAAACGAAAAGUUGGGACUGAAGCUUCCUCCACCCAUUUUUCACCAGGAUUAGCUCUGAUCUCCAGGCACCAGGUACUAGACUCUCAGAGCCUCCAGAAAUGCUUGCUCCUUAAUGGUCUUUCAGAACUUAGGCAAAGCGUGGCCUCAAGGCCCAGACAUCAAAGUCUGGAAGGAGAGCAGAGGCAGGGCAAGGUCUGGAAAUGCAUCCGUACAGUACGAAUGCUAAGUCAUCAGAAGGAGGGAGGAAGCCAGCCAGGUGAGGCACGGAUCCCAGGACUGAGAACUGGAAAAGACCUCAGCGAUCAUCUCUCCCACCUCCUCCUUUUUGCAGAAGAAGAAAUUGAUGCCCAGAGACGGACACAGGAGAGAGUUGGAGGGAGGGGCUCCGAGUGCCUCCUGACUCUGCCUUGGCCCAGGAUUAGAUGUGUUUGUAGAACUGCCAACCCCGUGACAGAAAGUGGGCUUCUGGACCGCUGACAGAGGCUCCAAGCCCUGUACAGCGUGUAUUAUUUCAAUUCAACCCAACAAGCAUGGCGUGCCUACUAUGUGCCAGGCACUAGAGAAACAAAAAAAGGCCAGAGACACCCCGUCCUCUCCAGGAGGGGCUGAGAGAGCGCCGGGCCUGGAGUCAAGAGAACCUGAGUUCGUAUCCAGCCUCGGACCCUGCGUAGCUGUGUGACGCAGGGCAGGUCACGUCAGCCCGUCUGCCUCAGGUGCCUCAUCUGUGGCCUCAUGAGUGCCUUUGCCAAGAAAACCCCAAAAGGCGUCAAUACUGAACCACAAAGCACUCAGACGCAUUAUUUCCACCAGUGCUUGCAUGGGGAGCUGGGGACUGUAUUAUCCACGUCCAGGAAGCCCUAGACCUAGCUUAGAGUCUGAGAUGUCCCGAGGCUACCCUAGGCGGGUGGGUGGAGAAGAGAAAGGACUUCGGAGAAGCCCCACGGAGUCCCGCGCUUCCAACCCCACAGCCCCCAAGAACUAUUUUCGGAGGCAGCCUCGGGGACUUCCGAUUGCUCCAAGGAGCCUCAAUCCUAAUUAAAUUCAGCCCCACAAACUUUUGUCACGUACUGCUUCAGUGCAAGGUUUGGAGGUGGGGCUGGGCCCGAGCUUUCCCUGGUCUGGUACCCAUGCACGUUGUCUGCGAGCUGCAGUCCUAGACUUGUCUGGGACACUUGCUAGGAGUUUUAACCGCAUCGCCCACCCUGCAAAUCAGAGGCAGGAUUUCUGAACCGUGUCUAGCCAGAUUCCUCAGCAGGAUUUCAAACCACUGUAAGUAGAUAAGAAAAUAAUGGCAGUCCUUGGAGGGAGAGGGAACUAACUCCAGGGAGAUUGGGGGCGGGGACCAGGAAAACUUCCCAGUGGGACUCCACUUUAGAACUGAGCCUGGAGGGGAAGAGAAAACAUUCCAAGAGGGGGAGGGGAGGAGGUCGGGCAAUCAAGGCUGGGAAGAAUGCAGGUGUGAAGGUAUAUUUGCAUAAUG
ensembl:lncRNA